rnacentral:lncRNA from 1 species
CUUGCUAGGCUGCAGCAGAGCAUCUUCAGAUCUCUGACUCUAUCCCUCUGCUUCCUUCAUCCCAUCUCCUUCUCUGACUCGCCUGCCUCUUCUAAGGAUCCAUGUGAUGACACUGGGCUCAACAUAAUUAUCAAGAUAAAGAAAUUCAGAAAACUCCAAUAGCAUCAAGAAGUGUUUUACUGGGUACUCAGAUGGAUCUGGAGUGCUGCUUGGAGGAUUAUCUAUUAACUACUUCAAGUAUGACGGUGAGGAUUACCGAGCAUAAUGAUUAUCCUGAGAGAAGGCUUUUGCCAGAUUAAAAAAAGACAUGGAAGUUUAUGAAAGAGUAGCUGAGUUAGCAUUACUACAUUAACAUUGUAUUCGCAGGAAGAAAAACGUAAUUUUGAGUAAUUAUGCCCCAACACAAAUAUUCAGUUAUUAAAUAUAAGCAAUAGUCAAGAGACUGCAAACAGUUAAGAGAAAACCAAUCCAAUUCUUACCAAUUUAAAUACUUGCCUUAAAGCAUUGUUUAGUAAAUUUAGAUCACAGUAUGUUUAUUUCCUUGUAGUUGCUCAAAUUAAGUCUCCAAUUUCACUGCAUUACAGAUUUAUUCCACAGAGCACACUUGUGUUUUCAUUAUAUUGAUAAUAUAGAUGGCUGUAAAUAAUUUGGGUGACCCACAAUAGUGGGAUCAAACAAAAAUUUACGAUUAGAAACCACAGGCUACUCAAGGAAAGAAGUUUUUAUCUUUAAACUUAUUAUCUUGUCUCCCAACUGUGAAUGAAGUUAUCUACAGAAUAAUCAAUAGUUAGAUGAAACUUGGCUUUUGCUACAGAGAAGCUUUAUCCUCUCAGAGAAUUUCAAAGAGGAAAACCAUUUAAAGGUAAGUUCACUUUUCAGCAUAGUAGCAACAGAUAAAAAAUACUACCUUUUCACCCCUAAACCAGUGCAAUUACUUUUUCCAGAAGCUG